AUUGAACGCUGGCGGCAGGCCUAACACAUGCAAGUCGAGCGGUAGCACAGAGAGCUUGCUCUCGGGUGACGAGCGGCGGACGGGUGAGUAAUGUCUGGGAAACUGCCUGAUGGAGGGGGAUAACUACUGGAAACGGUAGCUAAUACCGCAUAAUGUCGCAAGACCAAAGUGGGGGGCCUUCGGGCCUCAUGCCAUCAGAUGUGCCCAGAUGGGAUUAGCUAGUAGGUGGGGUAACGGCUCACCUAGGCGACGAUCCCUAGCUGGUCUGAGAGGAUGACCAGCCACACUGGAACUGAGACACGGUCCAGACUCCUACGGGAGGCAGCAGUGGGGAAUAUUGCACAAUGGGCGCAAGCCUGAUGCAGCCAUGCCGCGUGUGUGAAGAAGGCCUUCGGGUUGUAAAGCACUUUCAGCGGGGAGGAAGGCGGUGAGGUUAAUAACCUCAUCGAUUGACGUUACCCGCAGAAGAAGCACCGGCUAACUCCGUGCCAGCAGCCGCGGUAAUACGGAGGGUGCAAGCGUUAAUCGGAAUUACUGGGCGUAAAGCGCACGCAGGCGGUCUGUCAAGUCGGAUGUGAAAUCCCCGGGCUCAACCUGGGAACUGCAUUCGAAACUGGCAGGCUAGAGUCUUGUAGAGGGGGGUAGAAUUCCAGGUGUAGCGGUGAAAUGCGUAGAGAUCUGGAGGAAUACCGGUGGCGAAGGCGGCCCCCUGGACAAAGACUGACGCUCAGGUGCGAAAGCGUGGGGAGCAAACAGGAUUAGAUACCCUGGUAGUCCACGCCGUAAACGAUGUCGAUUUGGAGGUUGUGCCCUUGAGGCGUGGCUUCCGGAGCUAACGCGUUAAAUCGACCGCCUGGGGAGUACGGCCGCAAGGUUAAAACUCAAAUGAAUUGACGGGGGCCCGCACAAGCGGUGGAGCAUGUGGUUUAAUUCGAUGCAACGCGAAGAACCUUACCUGGUCUUGACAUCCACAGAACUUUCCAGAGAUGGAUUGGUGCCUUCGGGAACUGUGAGACAGGUGCUGCAUGGCUGUCGUCAGCUCGUGUUGUGAAAUGUUGGGUUAAGUCCCGCAACGAGCGCAACCCUUAUCCUUUGUUGCCAGCGGUUAGGCCGGGAACUCAAAGGAGACCGCCAGUGAUAAACUGGAGGAAGGUGGGGAUGACGUCAAGUCAUCAUGGCCCUUACGACCAGGGCUACACACGUGCUACAAUGGCAUAUACAAAGAGAAGCGACCUCGCGAGAGCAAGCGGACCUCAUAAAGUAUGUCGUAGUCCGGAUUGGAGUCUGCAACUCGACUCCAUGAAGUCGGAAUCGCUAGUAAUCGUAGAUCAGAAUGCUACGGUGAAUACGUUCCCGGGCCU
rnacentral:rRNA from 1 species